rnacentral:rRNA from 1 species
UACGUAGGGGGCGAGCGUUGUCCGGAUUUAUUGGGCGUAAAGAGCUCGUAGGCGGCUUGGCAAGUCGGGUGUGAAACCUCCAGGCUCAACCUGGAGACGCCACUCGAUACUGCCAUGGCUAGAGUCCGGUAGGGGACCACGGAAUUCCUGGUGUAGCGGUGAAAUGCGCAGAUAUCAGGAGGAACACCGGUGGCGAAGGCGGUGGUCUGGGCCGGCACUGACGCUGAGGAGCGAAAGCGUGGGUAGCGAACAGG